ensembl:lncRNA
CGCAACACUGGAAAACAGGAAGCUGGAGAAAGCCUUGGAGAAGGUUGUAGAAAAAGCCGUAUAUUACAGGAAGCUCUUUUCUCUGUGCCCAGAGGAGAUGCAGAGGGGGCCGCAUGAACAUGGUAGGCUCAGAACUGGAGUUGGUUCCUGUUCAUGGCAUUUUGCUUCUCAGCUCAACGAGAUUAUUUCUUGUUGAGGGUUUUUACUCAGCUUAACUUAAAAAAAAAGUUUCUUCUUAAGCCCGAGAGGGAAGAGAGAAGGCAGAGGAAGAAAGUCAAACGGCAGGCCUGCUUGUCCAGACUGGGUGGGAGAGUCGUGAGAUCCUGGACCAGACCGCUCAGCUUAUCCGUCUGAAACAGAAUUACCUCCUACCAUGGAGGCUGGAAUGCAGAAGAUGCCACAUGGUAUGUCAGAGGAAGAGCUGAGUCUGGAAGCCAGACCCACUGACUCCACCGUAUUAUGGUUGAUUUCCCACCAGAUCAGGUGGCUACCAGCUCUGCGCGGAUUCUUUACUGCUGAGCCACCGGGGAAGACCUCAGACAGAGAUGCGGCCUUCCUCAAAAGUAUCCUCAGCAACAAUGGAAUCCAUGGAAGCUUUAGCUGCAAGAGAGGCUGUAAAUACAAGUUCCUGGCCUUUUCAGUUUCUGCGGUUCUAUGGGGGAACCAAGGACUGCUGACAGAUGAUGGCUGAUGAAACAGAAGUUUUGGUCACAAUCAACGUGUUGCCUUGAUUUUCUUUUAAAAUUUCCUGUGCCAGCAAUCAAGUAUUGUUCAGUAUCAUAAAUAAAGUUGUCUCCGCUGGAAAGCUUCUGAAGGCCUAGAGAGAAAAGAAGAGCUGCCGGGUAUACCCAGUCAGAAUGAGAAGGGUCCUGGCAGCACUGAUUUCCCAAUUUCCUGUACCACAGACCCCUUCUCAUUUGGACUGUUCCACAGAAUUCUGGCAACACACAAAAUCCUGAGCUGCUUGGUUUUUCUGAAACCUGUCUGGGCUGAUGAAGAAUAGAGGCAGCCCUCUACCACGCUCCACUGGGAAGAAAAGAAAAACAAAUAUUUCACAAGGUCACUAGCUCACAGAAGGAACAUUGUCUUCACUGUCCACCAAAUACUCCUCUUCCAUUGUCACCUUGAAAGUGAAAGGGAACUCGCUCAGUCGUGUCUGACUCUUUGUGACCCUGUGGACUGUAACCUACCAGGCUCCUCUGUCCAUGGAAUUCUCCAGGUCCUGACACUUACAAGCCGCCUGGAAAGGUCUUCAGAAUACGGAAUUAAGUGAAUAAAUACACCAGGGGAAAUACAACGUUCUGUCUUCUUCUCAAGUACCAGACAAGGUAAAUCAGAAAGAUUUUGUGUUGAAAUCGGUAAUAUCAAUUUAGAGAUGUUCAGAUUAAAUUCAGAUUCAGAUUCAGUUAACUAGUUUUUUCACUCUUUUAAUUUUUUUUCAAAAGUAGACCUUGCAAUCAUUCAAAUAGUGAGAGCAAGCAUGUUUCAUGCUCAUGUGUUUGGGGUCUUAAUUCAUGGAGGUAGUCUCAUAAACCACUUGUCAGUACUGCUUUUUUAAGUGUAAUUUACUUAAACAUGGUUUGUAUAUAGGUUUAAACAUUAUAAAUACUGCUUCCCUCCACUCACUGGCUGACAGCUCGACAUUGGGGGUAUUGUAGUAGAAAGUCUCAUGUAUUUUUCAGUUUUAGCAAGUUGAGCACAAUCACUUGUAUAUAAUAGGUGUUUAAUAUUUGUUAGUUGAACAGAACAGGUAAACACAGGGGACCCAGCGUGUUUGGAGCUUCAC